UUCUGAUAUGUAUGGGCUGUGGUUGUUAGGACUUAGCUUUUGUUUGCGCACGUUUCCAAGGAGGCAGUCGCAGCCGGGCAACGUUAAAAUACAGACAAUGAAGAGACGGCACCACGCCCUUAAACAAGAGGUUUUACAGCUCUUUAAAACACUGCACAGGACCAGACAGCAAGUUUUUAGAAACGAUAAGAGAGCACUAGAAGCAGCCAGAGUAAAGAUAAAUGAAGAAUUCAAAAAACAUAAAAGCGAGACAUCUCCAGAGAAAAUAAAAGAGAUGAUGAAACUAGGUUCUGAUGUUGAAUUAUUGCUCAGAACAUCUGUUAUUCAAGGAAUUCACACGGACCGCGACACACUGCGGUUCCCUGUUAUGUAGCUCUGGCUGAUUUGGCUGAUGUGCCCUAUUGACUAGGCUGGCCCUGAACUUGCAGAGAUCCACCUGCCUCUACCUCCCAAGUGCUGGACUUAAAGAACUGGUCCCCAGGAAAGAUCUUCUUACAGAAAAUGUGCCGUACUGUGAUGCACCAACCCAGAAGCAGUAAAGCUUCCAGGAUAAAACUCUCCUUUGUGCCUUCCCACUUUAAAUAUAUGCCUGGCAAAGAUCCUGGCCAUGCACGUUUCUCUCUGAAGCGCACGUUGCAAAUGAGUGACAGGCUGAGGCUCGGAGGACAUAGACAUGCCUCUCACUGGCAGGCAGCCCUCAUGGGCCACUGAAGGCGUGGGAGGCAGGGCACUCAUCUCCUUCCCUGUGGUAGGUGUUUUGGUCUUACCAAAGCUGUUUGCCAGUGAAACACUCUACCAAGUUGGUGACUUUUCAUCUCAUGGGAUACACAUAGCUAAAUACAAAAUGCUACAUUACAUUGAUGUUUAAUCCCCAAAAUAUUAAGUUGGUAAAAAAAAAAUUAACAUUUUUCCUGCCAGCUCUCUACUGAAAGUGGCCAUUGUUUCCCCAAGUCCCAUGGUUAUUUCUGCAGCUAACAAAUAAUUAUGUAGUGCAUUUCUCUCCAUUCUUACAAAGACAGUGUUCCCCUUAUUGUUUUGUAUGUAUGGGUGUUUUGCCUGCAUAAAUGUCUAUGUACCAUGUAUGUGCAGUGCCUGCAGAGGUCAGGAGAGGGUAUUGGAUCCCAUGGGACUAGAGUUAUAGAUGGUCACAAGUUUCCUAGAAGAACAGCCAGUGCUCUAAAGCACUGAGCCAUCUCUCUAGCCCCUAUAAAGAGAUUUUAAACAGUCUUCUGGAGUUAGAUAGAUGAAAUAGCAAGUCACUCUGGGUCACUAUAGAAUAAAGACAUCCUCUUUAGGAAGUAGUGGCCUUCUGUCAGAUGGCUUGUGGUCUUUGUAGAAUUAGCUGUAUUUAGUUCACAGUUAGACUUUGCUGUGAAAUGCUGUAGAUGACCAAAUUCCCUCCCUCCUUCUCUCUCUCUCU